UCGAACGGUGAAGCCCCGCUUGCGGGGUGGAUCAGUGGCGAACGGGUGAGUAACACGUGAGCAACCUGCCCCUGACUCUGGGAUAAGCGCUGGAAACGGCGUCUAAUACUGGAUACGAGACGUGAUCGCAUGGUCAACGUUUGGAAAGAUUUUUCGGUUGGGGAUGGGCUCGCGGCCUAUCAGCUUGUUGGUGAGGUAAUGGCUCACCAAGGCGUCGACGGGUAGCCGGCCUGAGAGGGUGACCGGCCACACUGGGACUGAGACACGGCCCAGACUCCUACGGGAGGCAGCAGUGGGGAAUAUUGCACAAUGGGCGCAAGCCUGAUGCAGCAACGCCGCGUGAGGGAUGACGGCCUUCGGGUUGUAAACCUCUUUUAGCAGGGAAGAAGCGAGAGUGACGGUACCUGCAGAAAAAGCACCGGCUAACUACGUGCCAGCAGCCGCGGUAAUACGUAGGGUGCAAGCGUUAUCCGGAAUUAUUGGGCGUAAAGAGCUCGUAGGCGGUUUGUCGCGUCUGCUGUGAAAUCUGGGGGCUCAACCCCCAGCCUGCAGUGGGUACGGGCAGACUAGAGUGCGGUAGGGGAGAUUGGAAUUCCUGGUGUAGCGGUGGAAUGCGCAGAUAUCAGGAGGAACACCGAUGGCGAAGGCAGAUCUCUGGGCCGUAACUGACGCUGAGGAGCGAAAGGGUGGGGAGCAAACAGGCUUAGAUACCCUGGUAGUCCACCCCGUAAACGUUGGGAACUAGUUGUGGGGUCCAUUCCACGGAUUCCGUGACGCAGCUAACGCAUUAAGUUCCCCGCCUGGGGAGUACGGCCGCAAGGUA
rnacentral:rRNA from 1 species